rnacentral:rRNA from 1 species
UACGUAGGGUGCGAGCGUUAAUCGGAUUUACUGGGCGUAAAGCGUGCGCAGGCGGCCCGUUAAGACAGGUGUGAAAUCCCUGGGCUCAACCUAGGAAUUGCGCUUGUGACUGGCGGGCUCGAGUACGGUAGAGGGGGGUGGAAUUCCUGGUGUAGCAGUGAAAUGCGUAGAGAUCAGGAGGAACACCAGAGGCGAAGGCGGCCACCUGGGCCAAGACUGACGCUCAUGCACGAAAGCGUGGGGAGCAAACAGG